rnacentral:rRNA from 1 species
AGAGCUCGUAGGUGGUUUGUCGCGUUGUUCGUGAAAUCUCACGGCUUAACUGUGAGCGUGAGGGCGAUACGGGCAGACUUGAGUACUGCAGGGGAGACUGGAAUUCCUGGUGUAGCGGUGGAAUGCGCAGAUAUCAUGAGGAACACCGGUGGCGAAGGCGGGUCUCUGGGCAGUAACUGACGCUGAGGAGCGAAAGCGUGGGGAGCGAACAGGAUUAGAUACCCUGGUAGUCCACGCCGUAAACGGUGGGUACUAGGUGUGGGUUUCCUUCCUUGGGAUCCGUGCCGUAGCUAACGCAUUAAGUACCCCGCCUGGGGAGUACGGCCGCAAGGCUAAAACUCAAAGAAAUUGACGGGGGCCCGCACAAGCGGCGGAGCAUGUGGAUUAAUUCGAUGCAACGCGAAGAACCUUACCUGGGUUUGACAUGCACAGGACGCCGGCAGAGAUGUCGGUUCCCUUGUGGCCUGUGUGCAGGUGGUGCAUGGCUGUCGUCAGCUCGUGUCGUGAGAUGUUGGGUUAAGUCCCGCAACGAGCGCAACCCUUGUCUCAUGUUGCCAGCGGGUAAUGCCGGGGACUCGUGAGAGACUGCCGGGGUCAACUCGGAGGAAGGUGGGGAUGACGUCAAGUCAUCAUGCCCCUUAUGUCCAGGGCUUCACACAUGCUACAAUGGCCGGUACAAAGGGCUGCGAUGCCGCGAGGUUAAGCGAAUCCUUUUAAAGCCGGUCUCAGUUCGGAUCGGGGUCUGCAACUCGACCCCGUGAAGUCGGAGUCGCUAGUAAUCGCAG